ensembl:lncRNA
AGCUCCCUCUCUGCCUGAGGUCUUCUGAAGAGGAGAGGAGCAGAUGCUUCUCACAUCCAGCAGUUCACACUGCAAGGAGCAGUUCCUCUGUUUCUGGAUGCGACGGCUGUUCAUUCUCUCAGCCCUUCCACCUGCAGGGAGGUGCCAUAUCCGUUACUCUGAGGAUUUGUUUCAGAAGCGGCCGCGUUUUGUUUGGCUGCAGCUCCGAAGUGAUGAGAUGAGAGCUCCUCCCUGGGACUGCUUUCCGCAGGUAUUUCCAAGCCAAACUUCUCUGAGGAAACUGAGCAGCAGUGUGGGCUUCUGCAGCACCUGGGGCUGUCCUGCAUGUGCUGGAGCAGUGCCCCCUAUUGAGAAGCUGAACUUGAUGGAUGCGCGGCAGCACAGCUUGGAGGUGUUGGAUGAGUGGCCUAACAGAGGGGAGCAGCAAAGAAAUUAUCAAGCAUGGAAGUGAAGAGCUUAGGGCUGACCAAAGCUCAGUGCAGGGAAAGGGUGCUGGGAGGAGGAGCGGCUCUGCUGGCUGUCAGUCCUCAGGGUGGCUGCGCUCUGCAGUGCUGCAUGGCAGGGAUGGAUCCUGCGAGUGAUGGAAGCUCUGUGUUUCUCAUGGGAGGUAUGAAAGCAUUUCAGUAUGCAGUCAAAUACAUGUGGAUAAUUUGUUUUUAUGGCAAUGUGUAGAAUGCAAAAUAUUUAUACUUUCUAGAGUUACAAAAAUCUGUAGUGUUAAUUCUGCAGAGAAUAUGUUUACAAUUUCCAAUUUAAUUCUUUCAUUUGUAUUUUGCUAACUGGGGAGAAUGUCUGUAAUUUGGUAAUGCAGAAUAACAAAGGGCUGCAGAAUCUUGCAGGGAACUGAACUUUUUAUUCGUUAUCUAUGUGGCUGUCUGGGAGCUGCUAAGCCACGGCCUGGGGCUGUGACUGAGCAUCUGGUGGAGGGGCACAGCCUGCCCUGGGAGCACCUGUGGAAGCAAUUCAGCUGUGGGACUGGAAGGGUGGAUCCUGGCUCCAUCCCUCCCUAACCUCACCGAAGGGUGGCAGCCACAGGGGAAGGGUGUCUGCAUGGAGAUCCCUCCUUUGGAGUGCUGGGUGAGCCCCGAUCACUGGGAUGGGUGAGCAGAUCUGUCUGUAACUGGAUUGUGGCCAUCGCCCUUUUUUUGGUAACGUAGCACUGGUUCUCUGCCAUUGCCUUUCCCUUCAGUGGUACAGUAAGCAGCUGAUGACACAACAACACCUGAUGCUUGUUUGUGUUUUACCAAGUCGUUAUUUGUCACACCUCACAGCAUGCAGUGAAUGCAAACCUUCUGUGGGAGUUUGAAUCCUUUCUGAAAUAGGAAGUAACAGCUUGUGCAAAGGGCAGAAUCACCACCCUGGAAAUAUCCCUACUUUUUUGUCCAAAUAUUUUCCAUAUUUGCCAUGACAGUGAGAUAUAUAUAUAUACACAUAUAUUAUAUUUUUUUCCAACAGUAGUCAAACCUUUUGUUGCUCCUUGAAUUUAUUUCUCAACAGCAGUUUUUGGUAAACUGGAGCAGUCCCGUUGGUCUUUUAAUAUUGCCCUUUUUGGUUAGGUUUCCCAUUUCAGACAGAAAUAGGAUUUCUCUGACACUGAACUUUCCCUUCCCUCUCAUCC